rnacentral:misc_RNA from 1 species
GAUGAAGAACGCAGCGAAAUGCGAUAAGUAGUGUGAAUUGCAGAAUUCAGUGAAUCAUCGAAUCUUUGAACGCACAUUGCGCCCUUUGGUAUUCCUUAGGGCAUGCCUGUUCGAGCGUCAUUUAACCCCUCAAGCUCAGCUUGGUGUUGGGCGUCUUGUCUCUAGCUUUGCUGGAGACUCGCCUUAAAGUAAUUGGCAGCCGGCCUACUGGUUUCGGAGCGCAGCACAAGUCGCACUCUCUAUCAGCAAAGGUCUAGCAUCCAUUAAGCCUUUUUUUCAACUUUUGACCUCGGAUCAGGUAGGGAUACCCGCUGAACUUAAGCAUAUCAAUAAGCGGAGGA